rnacentral:rRNA from 1 species
UGUGUGUUAGUGGAAGCGUCUGGAAAGGCGCGCGAUACAGGGUGACAGCCCCGUACACAAAAAUGCACAUGCUGUGAGCUCGAUGAGUAGGGCGGGACACGUGGUAUCCUGUCUGAAUAUGGGGGGACCAUCCUCCAAGGCUAAAUACUCCUGACUGACCGAUAGUGAACCAGUACCGUGAGGGAAAGGCGAAAAGAACCCCGGCGAGGGGAGUGAAAAAGAACCUGAAACCGUGUACGUACAAGCAGUGGGAGCACGCUUAGGCGUGUGACUGCGUACCUUUUGUAUAAUGGGUCAGCGACUUAUAUUCUGUAGCAAGGUUAACCGAAUAGGGGAGCCGAAGGGAAACCGAGUCUUAACUGGGCGUUAAGUUGCAGGGUAUAGACCCGAAACCCGGUGAUCUAGCCAUGGGCAGGUUGAAGGUUGGGUAACACUAACUGGAGGACCGAACCGACUAAU